UACUGCACUUCAGCCUGGGUGACAGAGUGAGACCCUGUCUCCUUGGACAGGCAAACAAAAUUAGCCAGGCUUGGUGAUGUCUGCCUGUGGCCCCAGCUCCUCAGGAGGCUACAGUGCGAGGAUUGCUUGACCCAGGGAGGUUGAAGCUACAGUGAGCCGUGAUUGUGCCACUGCACUCCAGCCUAGGCGACAGAACAAGACCCUGCCUCAAAAAACAAACAAACAAAAAACCAAAAACAAA
rnacentral:lncRNA from 1 species